rnacentral:ncRNA from 16 species
AACUAAGAUAGAGGUGCGAGAUUUAAGAGUAGUAUUAUGGAGUUAAGUGCUAAGAAGUAAUAAGAAAGGAAAUUUCGCCGAAGCUUAUAGAUAAUACUUUAAUGCUAUUUGCUGGGAUUACAUAAAAUAUAUGUAAGACUGUCACAAAUAAAGUUUGUGGAGAGCUAUUAUUUUA